rnacentral:lncRNA from 1 species
CUUUUUUUUCUUUUGUUUGAAUUUUUCUGUUUCAUUCACUUUUGUAUCUGUUUCUUUUUAAUUUGUUUUUUUCAAUGUUUUGAUUUUGUUUCUUUUUUCUUUGUUUUUAUUUAUUUUCCUCAGGUUGGUAUGUUUUUCUUUUUCUUUUUGUAACUUCUUUCUAGUAAGAAUUUUGUAUGAUGUUGCAGUGUUGGAGAACGCUGAGUACACAUAUUUUGAAAUAAAUAAUAUUCUUUUUUUUAAACCUUUUUUUAAUUGCAUGCAUGUUUAUUCUUAAGUACAUGUAUGUAGAAAUAGGAUGUUGUCUCUUUCAGUAUUGGAUUAUCCAGUCAUGAUAAAAUUAUUGAUGUGUCAUCAGAUAAUAAAGUUCUUA